GAUGAACGCUGGCGGCGUGCUUAACACAUGCAAGUCGAACGAAGCAUUUAGAACAGAUUACUUCGGUUUGAAGUUCUUUAUGACUGAGUGGCGGACGGGUGAGUAACGCGUGGGUAACCUGCCUUGUACUGGGGGAUAGCAGCUGGAAACGGCUGGUAAUACCGCAUAAGCGCACAAUGUUGCAUGACAUGGUGUGAAAAACUCCGGUGGUAUAAGAUGGACCCGCGUCUGAUUAGCUAGUUGGUGAGAUAACAGCCCACCAAGGCGACGAUCAGUAGCCGACCUGAGAGGGUGACCGGCCACAUUGGGACUGAGACACGGCCCAGACUCCUACGGGAAGCAGCAGUGGGGAAUAUUGCACAAUGGAGGAAACUCUGAUGCAGCGACGCCGCGUGAGUGAAGAAGUAAUUCGUUAUGUAAAGCUCUAUCAGCAGGGAAGAUAGUGACGGUACCUGACGAAGAAGCUCCGGCUAAAUACGUG
rnacentral:rRNA from 1 species